GAUCCUGGCUCAGGAUGAACGCUGGCGGCGUGCUUAACACAUGCAAGUCGAACGGGAAAUACUUUAUUGAAACUUCGGUCGAUUUAAUUUAUUUCUAGUGGCGGACGGGUGAGUAACGCGUGGGUAACCUGCCUUAUACUGGGGGAUAACAGCCAGAAAUGGCUGCUAAUACCGCAUAAGCGCACAGAACCGCAUGGUUCGGUGUGAAAAACUCCGGUGGUAUAAGAUGGACCCGCGUUGGAUUAGCUAGUUGGCAGGG
rnacentral:rRNA from 1 species